rnacentral:misc_RNA from 1 species
UAGCUGUCUUAUGUCCCUGCUUUGACUGAAUAAGUGCCUCUGCUACAGUUUGUGUGUCUUUCAACUGCUCAUCAUCUAUAGCUGUUCCUGCAAGAACAACAGCAGAGUGGCGAUUAAGGUCCUGUAACAAAGUCCUCAUGUAUGGCUCAUUCUGUGAAUCUGUUAUCUCCUUGCUACCAUCACGAACAAUUCCAUGAUCUGGAAGAUGUGUAUAAUCAUCCCCCUGGUCAGCUUCCAUGUCUAGAGUUGGAUCAACACAUCUAAUCUUCCGCCGAGUUUCACUGGCCAAAAUAUCAUCAGGUUUCAGAAAAAGAGCUAGUUCCUCAUCUUCAGCAGCCUCCGCGGCUGCAGCAUGAGCAUUUUUUGAAUGAUGGAGGUAUUCAGCUCUACAAUAUUUGGUCCAGAAGUCCUUGUCUGUCAUCUUGUUAGGAACUACAUUCAAGUAUGCCUGGUGAACAGCUGG